ensembl:lncRNA
GCCAUGGUUUCUAAAUAUUCUGUUAUUAACUAAUGCUGAUAUCAACAUUCUUACUAUACGUGUAGUUGCACAAAUGUUCCCACACACCCAUUUCUUGUCAUCUGAUUUUGCAUGGUAAAGACUAAAAGACCAAUUACGUAGUCAAAUUUUCAGACUUUUCUUUCAUGUCUUCUGAGCCUUGUUUUUUUAAUACUUCAAUAACGUCUCAACUCUGAAAUUACAGAAUAAAAUGUCUUCCGUGCUUGCUUGCUUUCUGUUUUACUUUCACUGUUCCAGCUUACAGUUCACACAGCCCAGCCCCCUGCAGAAUCUCCCUUGCUCAGGUUGGCCUGGGCCUUGCAAUCUCGCGGGGAGGGCCUCUCCGCCGCGGCCUCCUGCUUUCCACCCGCCCUGGGCCACCUGGGCCUCUGCCGCCUGGGCCGCUCCGCGCCGUGCUCCCCGAGCGGGGAGCCCCCUCCGAGGCUGAGGCCCCCGGCGAGCUCGGGCGUUUGGGCGGUCGUCGCCGCUGAGGCCUGCCGGCGACGGCGCCUCGUCCCGGGGACACUCGAACCGGUUGUCGGGCGCCCCUGGCGGCCGCUUUCAGAGCGUUCUUUCCUUCGGCGACCUUCACAAGGGCUGCGAUUCAGCCGGCAAACACGGCGCAGAGCUCCAGAGGCCGGCAUCACUGGCGGCGAUAACCCCGGUGCUUCGGAGAUCUGGUUACACCCCUUACAGACCCUCCCUCUCUCCUGGGCACCAGGUUCCCUGGGUCAGAUCAUCCAUGACCCAUUUCUCUACACUCAAGGAGUUAUCUGGCCACGUUGCUUCCAGCUCUAAUGGAGUGAGUUGAGCAGUGAUGGACCCAGAGAAGAGUGGAGACAACAGGGCGUGAAGGAGAAAUAUAUUUUCAUGUUUGCUUAUAAGGAACUCUAGAAGGAUCUGUAAGAAACAAAAUACUACCUGUGGAGGCAGAUGGCCCUGGACACACCGGGUAAACGACAGGAGGCACAGAUUAAGGCAAAGUGUAUUUUCAGUAUCUUGAAUCAUGUGCCUGUAUUAUAACCUCUUUGGAAUUUUCAAUAAAUUGAAUUUUUAAAACCUCC